CACAAAGUCGAAUUAAAUUUUCUUCAUACCGCAAACGGACUCAGCAAUCCGCCAUGUUCGGGUCUGGCGGUCGCCGGCAUUUCGGCGGCUGCCGCGGAAUAUUUUCGUGAAUCCUUAGUCAGCGCAUUUUAUGGAGAGGAGGAGAGUGGUGACGACGAGGGUACAUGAGGUGAUAAGGAGGACGGUGAAGCAGGCAAGACAACCCCGGACACGCCCGUCUCGCCCGUCUGGACCCCCAAUAGAGGCAUCUCCUGUGGCACCUCACGGCUCAGCAAACCGACAACUUUAUUGACCAGAACGGAAAGGAUAAAGAAUAAUAGACUUCGAA